rnacentral:rRNA from 1 species
AUUGAACGCUGGCGGCAGGCCUAACACAUGCAAGUCGAGCGGAGCGGCGGACGGGUGAGUAAUGACUAGGAAUCUGCCUGGUAGUGGUGGAUAACGUACGUAAACGGAAGCUAAUACCGCAUACUAUCAGAUGAGCCUAGGUCGGAUUAGCUAGUUGGUGAGGUAAAGGCCUACCAAGGCCACGAGCCGUAACUGGUAUGAGAGGAUGAUCCGUCACACUGGAACUGAGACACGGUCCAGACUCCUACGGGAGGCAGCAGUGGGGAAUAUUGGGCAAUGGGCGAAAGCCUGAUCCAGCCAUGCCGCGUGUGUGAAGAAGGUCUUCGGAUUGUAAAGCACUUUAAGUUGGGAAGCGUUACCAACAGAAUAAGCACCGGCUAACUUCGUGCCAGCAGCCGCGGUAAUUC